GUUAUCGGAUCCUACCAAGUCUGAUCAUUUGUCUUUUAUUGGAUCUGUUUUGAAACAUUAUCCUAUUGAGUUCUUUGAACUAUUUGCACUGUUAUCUUAGGCAAUUUGGCAAGAAAGGAAUGAUUUUAUGGCUUAUGUGAUUUCUUUGGCUUCUUGGAUUUGGAAUGAAUUUAGCAAAGCUAUUUCAGUGCCUCACCAAGUUUCGUUAAGAAGUGGUUCGCAGCAUUGGGUACCUCCCCAGGUGGGUGGUUUUGAGCUUAAUUCAGAUGUAAGUAUUAAAGGUAAUGGAUUAGUGGGUCUGGUUUUGUAUUUUGAGAUGAUAAAGGUAGAGUUAUGUUAGCAGCUGCUAUAUGCGUGACAGCAAGUUGAGAUUCUGGUUUAGUAGAGAUCCAAGCUUGGAAAUAUGGUGUAGAAAUGGUCGUUGCUACUGGAUUUACUGUCUUCCAAGUUGAGUGUGAUAAUCAAAGUUCAGUCAUGGCAUUGAAUAGUGGACCAAUUGUUACGCCCUAUCACUCUCUAAUUGUUGAAGAUUUGAAUCAUUUAGCUAUGUCUUUAUCCUUUUUUUUUUUGUUCCUCGUAGUGCUAAUAUACUAGCUGAUGCUAUAGCUAAUUAUGCUGUAUUAGUCCAAAACCAGGAAAUGGUUUGGAUUGAAGAGCUACUUCCUGA
rnacentral:misc_RNA from 1 species